rnacentral:rRNA from 1 species
CCUACGGGUGGCUGCAGUGAGGAAUAUUGGUCAAUGGACGAGAGUCUGAACCAGCCAAGUAGCGUGAAGGAUGACUGCCCUAUGGGUUGUAAACUUCUUUUAUAAAGGAAUAAAACGAGGCACGUGUGCCUUUUUGCAUGUACUUUAUGAAUAAGGAUCGGCUAACUCCGUGCCAGCAGCCGCGGUAAUACGGAGGAUCCGAGCGUUAUCCGGAUUUAUUGGGUUUAAAGGGAGCGUAGAUGGGUUGUUAAGUCAGUUGUGAAAGUUUGCGGCUCAACCGUAAAAUUGCAAUUGAUACUGCCUUGCUGGAAUGCGGAUGCCGUGGGAGGAAUGUGUGGUGUAGCGGUGAAAUGCAUAGAUAUCACACAGAACACCGAUUGCGAAGGCAUCUCACGAAUCCGCGAUUGACGCUGAUGCACGAAAGCGUGGGUAUCAAACAGGAUUAGAUACCCUAGUAGUC